rnacentral:rRNA from 1 species
GACGAACGCUGGCGGCGUGCUUAACACAUGCAAGUCGAACGGAAAGGCCCUGCUUUUGUGGGGUGCUCGAGUGGCGAACGGGUGAGUAGCACGUGAGUAACCUGCCCUUGACUUUGGGAUAACUUCAGGAAACUGGGGCUAAUACCGGAUAGGAGCUCCUGCUGAAUGGUGGGGGUUGGAAAGUUUCGGCGGUUGGGGAUGGACUCGCGGCUUAUCAGCUUGUUGGUGGGGUAGUGGCUUACCAAGGCUUUGACGGGUAGCCGGCCUGAGAGGGUGACCGGCCACAUUGGGACUGAGAUACGGCCCAGACUCCUACGGGAGGCAGCAGUGGGGAAUAUUGCACAAUGGGCGGAAGCCUGAUGCAGCAACGCCGCGUGCGGGAUGACGGCCUUCGGGUUGUAAACCGCUUUCGCCUGUGACGAAGCGUGAGUGACGGUAAUGGGUAAAGAAGCACCGGCUAACUACGUG